rnacentral:rRNA from 1 species
ACAUCGCCUCUUGAUUAAAUAUAAGAGGUCCAGCCUGCCCAGUGACAAAAUUUAACGGCCGCGGUACCCUGACCGUGCGAAGGUAGCAUAAUCACUUGUUCUUUAAAUAGGGACUAGUAUCAACGGCAUCACGAGGGUUUUACUGUCUCCUUUCUCCAAUCAGUGAAACUGAUCUUCCCGUGAAGAAGCGGGAAUAAACCUAUAAGACGAGAAGACCCCAUGGAGCUUUAAAUUUCACAGCAACUCAGUAACAUACUUCCUUAUAACUCAAAGAGUUAUGCAUGCCAAUUUUAGGUUGGGGUGACCGCGGAGUAUAAAAUAACCUCCACAUCGAAAAGAACUAAAUCUUUAUUUAAGAGCCACAACUCUAAAAAUUAGUAUACUAACGAACAAUGACCCGAUAAUCGAUCAACGGACCAAGUUACCCUGGGGAUAACAGCGCAAUCUACUUCAAGAGCCCAUAUCGACAAGUAGGCUUACGACCUCGAUGUUGGAUCAGGGUAUCCCAGUGGUGCAGCCGCUACUAAUGGUUCGUUUGUUCAACGAUUAAAACCCUACGUGAUCUGAG